GGUUACAUUACACUAAAUCAUUGUGUAUCCCUCCGUGGUCCAUUCGAAAGUAGUGCCUAUUUCUAAAGAGUUCCUUUUCUCUUCUUGAAUAUAAGCCAUUUAACAAUGUGAGACAUGUCUUUUGUGGUUAUUUGUAAUAUCCUGUAUGUGUCUGGAGUACUUUGAUGCCUUGGAUUGGAAGCUACCUUAAAAGAUGAACUUUUGAGGGUGUGUUUUCUAUUGUGUGGGGCUUUUGUCGAAAUUAGGAUUCCGAAACACGUUUUUCUACGGUGGGUUCAUUCGACAGCGAUUUACUUUCUUAGAAGUUGCGAGACGGUAUGUUUUUGAUUGCAAUUAUUGGAAGAUGACAGAUCCAUCUUUAAAAUGAUACCAGGUUCGGAAAAAUUGAUACGUCGGAAAGGCAAGAAAAAUGCUGUGAAAGUUGUCAGUUUUAUAAUGGGACCCUAUGGGAAUCGGAAUUAGUGUAAUAUAACCUUUAAAAAGCACAUUUACUGCAAUGUCAAGGUCACAUGGAUUCGUCUGCAAGCGAGACAAGUAGAAAAUGAAUUUUAAUGAAUGUUUUGAUGAUUUGGGUGCUAAAAUAGAUGAGAGGUGUCAAUAUUUUGGUCCAAAUGGAUGUUUUAGGUGGUUUUGGACUGUUCUGGAUGGGUGGGGGACCUGGUAUGGACAAGUAAGGGUAACAUUUCCAACAAAUCUUAAAUGUAAAUAUUAUUAUGUCCAUAGAUUGAAGUUUCAGGUGGAGAGCAAGAUGAAAAAUAUGCAAAAUUACAUGCAUGCAACCCAUUUAUGCCAUUUUUCUCUUUGUUUGUAGGCCUGACCGUUUGUCCUUGAGCCGUAGAUGGUCAACAAUCCGCUAGCUGUCUUGCUCUGACUGGUGCACUGGACAUGAUUUCAAUAGUCAGCCAGACCAUGAUUGAGCUUAAGGGUUGUGCUGCGGAUGCAGCCUGUGCAGUUCCGGGAGAAAGUCACUGUCUCGGGCAAUGCGGUCUGGUAUCAGGUCUGGAUGAUCCUUGCCUGACUGCGGGUUUGUGUACACCUCAAUCCGACUCUGUGUCCUGAACAGAGGCCGCAGUGGUGCAGCGCUUGUGGACGAUCCAUCAAUAUCCUGAAAGGUCAACACUACACCAAGCUGGGAAAAUUGAUCCUGAUAGUCAUCCCCAGGUAGUGGAAUGAAUGUUCACUGAACUACAGAGGAAUCACACCCAAAUGACUUUCCUGCCACGACAUUAGUGUGGCCACUCGCGUAGGAAUUCCUUAGCAAACAUGCUCUUUUGCAUGGUGACUGUGGACAUUUUUGCAAAACUUACGCUUUCAACACUGGAUUUUAAAGAGAAUACUUAAUAAAAUGUCGCUAACAGGACUUAUUUAUAUGAGAGAGACUAUCUGGAUGCGCAUUAAGUGUCACUUUGUGUCGUAAGCUGUUGAAGGAGCGAUUUGCGCCUUUUUAAGUGUUAAUUUUGGGUAGCCGGCUUGUAUCGGCUUGAAAGCUGAAAAUUAUGCCUCUCAUCAUAAUAGCAUUAAUUUUUGUAAUUGCAAUGUGUAUGUUUAGAUUGUAAGUGAAGCUUUUAAUAAUGAUUUUCUUAAAAAACAUGAUUUUAUAUGCU